CGCUACUACCGAUUGAAUGGCUCAGUGAGGCCUUGGGACUGGCUCAGAGAGGUCGGCAACGCAACUCAGAGCGGAAACUUGGUCAAACUUGGUCAUUUAGAGGAAGUAAAAGUCGUAACAAGGUC
rnacentral:rRNA from 1 species